rnacentral:rRNA from 1 species
UGAGCAGCGAACGGGUGAGUAACGCGUGGGGAAUCUGCCUUUGAGCGGGGGACAACAUUUGGAAACGAAUGCUAAUACCGCAUAAAAACUUUAAACACAAGUUUUAAGUUUGAAAGAUGCAAUUGCAUCACUCAAAGAUGAUCCCGCGUUGUAUUAGCUAGUUGGUGAGGUAAAGGCUCACCAAGGCGAUGAUACAUAGCCGACCUGAGAGGGUGAUCGGCCACAUUGGGACUGAGACACGGCCCAAACUCCUACGGGAGGCAGCAGUAGGGAAUCUUCGGCAAUGGACGAAAGUCUGACCGAGCAACGCCGCGUGAGUGAAGAAGGUUUUCGGAUCGUAAAACUCUGUUGGUAGAGAAGAACGUUGGUGAGAGUGGAAAGCUCAUCAAGUGACGGUAACUACCCAGAAAGGGACGGCUAACUACGUGCCAGCAGCCGCGGUAAUACGUAGGUCCCGAGCGUUGUCCGGAUUUAUUGGGCGUAAAGCGAGCGCAGGUGGUUUAUUAAGUCUGGUGUAAAAGGCAGUGGCUCAACCAUUGUAUGCAUUGGAAACUGGUAGACUUGAGUGCAGGAGAGGAGAGUGGAAUUCCAUGUGUAGCGGUGAAAUGCGUAGAUAUAUGGAGGAACACCGGUGGCGAAAGCGGCUCUCUGGCCUGUAACUGACACUGAGGCUCGAAAGCGUGGGAGCAAACAGGAUUAGAUACCCUGGUAGUCCACGCCGUAAACGAUUGAGUGCUAGAUGUAGGGAGCUAUAAGUUCUCUGUAUCGCAGCUAACG